UACGGAGGAUCCGAGCGUUAUCCGGAUUUAUUGGGUUUAAAGGGUGCGUAGGCGGAUCUGUAAGUCAGUGGUGAAAGCCCGGGGCUCAACUCCGGAAUUGCCGUUGAUACUGCAGGUCUCGAGUACAGUUGAGGUGGGCGGAAUACAUCAUGUAGAGGUGAAAUUCUUAGAUAUGAUGUAGAACACCGAUUGCGAAGGCAGCUCACUAAAGUGUAACUGACGCUGAGGCACGAAAGCGUGGGUAUCAAAC
rnacentral:rRNA from 1 species